AAUCUUGCGCCAUGGGCGAAAGCCCGACGCAGCCACGUCGCGGGAAUGAUGAAGGUCUUAGGAUUGUAAAAUCCUUUUACCGGGGACGAUAAUGACGGUACCCGGAGAAGAAGCCCCGGCUAACUUCGGGCCAGCAACCGCGGUAAUACGAAGGGGGCUAGCGUUGCUCGGAAUUACUGGGCGUAAAGGGCGCGUAGGCGGGUCGUUAAGUCAGGGGUGAAAUCCCGGGGCUCAACCCCGGAACUGCCCUUGAUACUGGCGAUCUUGAGUAUGAGAGAGGUAUGUGGAACUCCGAGUGUAGAGAUGAAAUUCGUAGAUAUUCGGAAGAACACCAGUGGCGAAGGCGACAUACUGGCUCAUUACUAACGCUGGGGCGCGAAAGCGUGGGGAGCAAACA
rnacentral:rRNA from 1 species